CUGGCGGCGUGUUCAACACAUGCAAGUCAAACGAACCUUCGGGUUAGUGGCGGACGGGUGAGUAACUUUUGCCAAUCUGCCCUCAGGAGGGGGAUAACGGUUGGAAACGACCGCUAAUACCCCAUAUGCCGAGAGGUGAAAAGAAAUUCGCCUGAGGAUGAGCUCGCGUCUGAUUAGCUAGUUGGUGUGGUAAUGGCGCACCAAGGCUUCGAUCAGUAGCUGGUCUGAGAGGAUGAUCAGCCACACUGGGACUGAGACACGGCCCAGACUCCUACGGGAGGCAGCAGUGGG
rnacentral:rRNA from 1 species